UACGGGGGGGGCAAGCGUUGUUCGGAAUUACUGGGCGUAAAGGGCUCGUAGGCGGCCAACUAAGUCAGACGUGAAAUCCCUCGGCUUAACCGGGGAACUGCGUCUGAUACUGGAUGGCUUGAGUUCGGGAGAGGGAUGCGGAAUUCCAGGUGUAGCGGUGAAAUGCGCAGAUACCAGGAAGAACACCUAUGGCGAAGGCAGCUCUCUGGGACGGUACUGACGCUGAGACGCGAAAGCGUGGGGAGCAAACAGG
rnacentral:rRNA from 1 species